rnacentral:rRNA from 1 species
CCUACGGGAGGCAGCAGUGGGGAAUAUUGCGCAAUGGGCGAAAGCCUGACGCAGCGACGCCGCGUGAGGGAUGAAGGUCUUCGGAUCGUAAACCUCUGUCAGCAGGGAAGUACGGUCACUGUGCUAAUCAGCAGUGAAUUGACGGUACCUGCAAAGGAAGCACCGGCUAACUCCGUGCCAGCAGCCGCGGUAAUACGGAGGGUGCGAGCGUUAAUCGGAAUUACUGGGCGUAAAGCGCUCGUAGGCGGUAUGUCAAGUCAAGGGUGAAAUCCCCGCGCUCAACGUGGGAACUGCCUUUGAAACUGGCAGACUGGAGUGUGUGAGAGGAUAGUGGAAUUCGAGGUGUAGGAGUGAAAUCCGUAGAUAUCUGGAGGAACAUCAGUGGCGAAGGCGACUAUCUGGCACAUAACUGACGCUGAGGAGCGAAAGCGUGGGUAGCAAACAGGAUUAGAUACCCGAGUAGUC